rnacentral:rRNA from 1 species
UGUGGGUGGCGAGUGGCGGACGGGUGAGUAAUGCAUCGGGACCUGCCCAGACGUGGGGGAUAACGUAGGGAAACUUACGCUAAUACCGCAUACGUCCUACGGGAGAAAGCGGGGGAUCGAAAGACCUCGCGCGGUUGGAUGGACCGAUGUUCGAUUAGCUAGUUGGUGAGGUAAUGGCUCACCAAGGCGACGAUCGAUAGCUGGUCUGAGAGGAUGAUCAGCCACACUGGGACUGAGACACGGCCCAGACUCCUACGGGAGGCAGCAGUGGGGAAUAUUGGACAAUGGGCGAAAGCCUGAUCCAGCAAUGCCGCGUGUGUGAAGAAGGCCUUCGGGUUGUAAAGCACUUUUAUCAGGAGCGAAAUACUGCCGGCUAAUACCCGGCGGGGCUGACGGUACCUGAGGAAUAAGCACCGGCUAACUUCGUGCCAGCAGCCGCGGUAAUACGAAGGGUGCAAGCGUUAAUCGGAAUUACUGGGCGUAAAGCGUGCGUAGGCGGUUCUUUAAGUCUGCUGUGAAAUCCCCGGGCUCAACCUGGGAAUGGCAGUGGAUACUGGAGAGCUAGAGUGUGAUAGAGGAUGGGUGGAAUUCCCGGUGUAGCGGUGAAAUGCGUAGAGAUCGGGAGGAACAUCAGUGGCGAAAGGCGGCCAUCUGGAUCAACACUGACGCUGAGGCACGAAAGCGUGGGGGAGCAAACAGGAUUAGAUACCCUGGUAGUCCACGCCCUAACGAUGCGAACUGCUGUGGUCUCAACUCGGAGAUCAGUGUCGAAGCUAACGCGUUUAAGUUCGCCGCCUGGGUAGUACGUUCGCAGACUGAAACUCAAAGGUCUGACGGGGGACCCGCACAAGCCGAUGCAGUAUGGUGGAUUAACCUCCGAUGCCA